rnacentral:rRNA from 1 species
UGGGGAAUAUUGCACAAUGGGCGCAAGCCUGAUGCAGCAACGCCGCGUGAGGGACGACGGCCUUCGGGUUGUAAACCUCUUUUAGUAGGGAAGAAGCGAAAGUGACGGUACCUGCAGAAAAAGCACCGGCUAACUACGUGCCAGCAGCCGCGGUAAUACGUAGGGUGCGAGCGUUGUCCGGAAUUAUUGGGCGUAAAGAGCUCGUAGGCGGUCUGUCGCGUCUGCUGUGAAAACCCGAGGCUCAACCUCGGGCCUGCAGUGGGUACGGGCAGACUAGAGUGCGGUAGGGGAGAAUGGAAUUCCUGGUGUAGCGGUGGAAUGCGCAGAUAUCAGGAGGAACACCGAUGGCGAAGGCAGUUCUCUGGGCCGUAACUGACGCUGAGGAGCGAAAGCGUGGGGAGCGAACAGGAUUAGAUACCCUGGUAGUCCACGCCGUAAACGUUGGGCGCUAGAUGUGGGGCACCAUUCCACGGUUUCCGUGUCGCAGCUAACGCAUUAAGCGCCCCGCCUGGGGAGUACGGCCGCAAGGCU